ensembl:lncRNA
CAGGGCAAAACAGAACAUAUUAAGCUGGAGCAAUUGAGAAAAGACUUCUGAGUUUCAGGGUACUUGACAUGGGAGCCUCAGGUCAUUUGGGGUGACCAAGAAGGAAAUCCCGCAGAUGGGAAAUCACUAUGUAUAAAAAAGCAGCUGUGAUACAGCUGGCGUGGCUGGAGAGUAGACUUGUGGAGAGCAAGGAUGCGUCAUCCUGGACCUGAGCUCAACCCUGAAGCAGAAAGCUUUUAUGGAAAAUGUACUACAUCCAAGACAUCAUGCCAGAGGUUGUCAGGGGAGAAAGACUCAAAGAAUUCAGUCUCGUGGAGGAAAGAGAUUGGCAGAUUCUUUACUUUCUGAGCCACCAGGAUAAGCAAGUAAUUAAACUCAAAGCAGAAUAAGAAAGUGAAAGUGAAAUCGCUCAGUCGUGUCCAACUCUUUGCGACCCCGUGGACUGUAGCCCACCAGGCUCCUCCGUCCAUGGAAUUCUCCA